AUCCAGACGACUAGUCCCAAAAUAGGAUGAAAUGCUCAUCCUGGAU
rnacentral:hammerhead_ribozyme from 1 species